UGGGGAAUAUUGCACAAUGGAGGGAACUCUGAUGCAGCGACGCCGCGUGAGUGAUGAAGGAAUUCGUUUCGUAAAACUCUGUUCUAUGGGAAGAAAAGGACUGUACCAUAGGAGAAAGCUCCGGCUAAAUACGUGCCAGCAGCCGCGGUAAUACGUAUGGAGCGAGCGUUGUCCGGAAUUAUUGGGCGUAAAGGGUGCGCAGGCGGCUUUACAAGUUGGAUGUGAAAUAUUGUGGCUCAACCACAAACGUGCAUCCAAAACUACAAAGCUUGAGUUAAGGAGAGGUAAGUGGAAUUCCUGGUGUAGCGGUGGAAUGCGUAGAUAUCAGGAGGAAUACCGGUGGCGAAGGCGACUUACUGGACUUAAACUGACGCUCAGGCACGAAAGCGUGGGGAGCAAACAGG
rnacentral:rRNA from 1 species